GUUAAAACGCUCGUAGUCGGAUUUCGGGGCGGGUCUGCCGGUUUGCCGAUGGGUAUAUACUGGCGGGUGCGUCCUUCCUUCCGGAGACCGCGCCUCCUCUUAACUGAGCGGGCGUGGGAGACGGAUCGUUUACUUUGAAAAAAUCAGAGUGUUUCAAGCAGGCAUGUCGCUCUUGCAUGGAUUAGCAUGGGAUAAUGAAAUAGGACUUUGGUGCUAUUUUGUUGGUUUCGAGCACCGAAGUAAUGAUUAACAGGGACAGUCAGGGGCACUCGUAUUCCGCAGAGAGAGGUGAAAUUCUUAGACCCGCGGAAGACGAACCACUGCGAAAGCAUUUGCCAGGGAUGUUUUCACUGAUCAAGAACGAAAGUUAGGGGAUCGAAGACGAUCAGAUACCGUCGUAGUCUUAACCAUAAACGAUGCCAACUAGGGAUUCCGAGAUGUUGUUUUUGACUCUCGGAGCACCUUACGGGAAACUAAAGUCUUUGGGUUCCGGGGGGAGUAUGGUCGCAAGGCUGAAACUUAAAGGAAUUGACGGAAGGGCACCACCAGGAGUGGAGCCUGCGGCUUAAUUUGACUCAACACGGGGAAACUUACCAGGUCCAGACAUUGUGAGGAUUGACAGAUUGAGAGCUCUUUCUUGAUUCGAUGGGUGGUGGUGCAUGGCCGUUCUUAGUUGGUGGAGUGAUUUGUCUGGUUAAUUCCGUUAAC
rnacentral:rRNA from 1 species